UGGCAUUUCCGGCCACUCCCUGAACUGUGGAUACACAAAUUUAACCCUUUCCCCACCUCCCUCUCCCCACGUAUGCCGAGGUCGGGUGUCAGUUCCCCAACAUGAAUACACGAAACCAAGGAUGGUUUGGUUUGCUGGAUCCACAGAUAAAGGUGGUGUCCUGCAAGUAUAUAUGUGUGUGUUUCUAGCUGCUACUGGAAAUGUCUAUACCUUCCCUCGACAGAGGCAAUGGAAUUCCCACAGCCUAACACCCCAGCCCACAUCUCUCUUGGCUUGCUGUGCGCAGGAAUGCUGGCUCUUUUUAAAAGAUAUCUGGUUCCACCCUGAAGUGAGGAUCACUCGGUUUCUAGACAACAAUUUGAAUUAGCUCAAUGGGUGUGAGAGGCUUUGUACAUGUAUUAUAUCUGUAUGCAAAAUCCUCUCAAGUUUGUAUCCGUUGGAAUUCGAUACUAUACUUAAGGACCAGCAUCUCAUAGUUGGGAUCUCUGUCAUCGGUUCUCUGUCAGUUUUCUGUCGUCGGUUCUCCAACAGCUACCACUUUUAUCUUGUAAAUUUCUGU